AACAAACGCUGGCGGCGUGCCUAAUACAUGCAAGUCGAACGGGGAAAGCUUUCGGGUGAGUACUAGUGGCGCACGGGUGAGUAACGCGUGGAUAAUCUGCCUUAGAGUGGGGGAUAACUAGUCGAAAGAUUAGCUAAUACCGCAUAAGACCACAAGAACUGCGGUUCAAGGGGUCAAAGGUUUUUCGCUCUAAGAUGAGUCCGCGUAAGAUUAGCUAGUUGGUAGGGUAACGGCCUACCAAGGCGACGAUCUUUAACUGGUCUGAGAGGAUGAUCAGUCAACCUGGAACUGAGACACGGUCCGGACUCCUACGGGAGGCAGCAGUAGGGAAUAUUGCACAAUGGAGGAAACUCUGAUGCAGCGACGCCGCGUGAGUGAUGAAGGCCUUCGGGUCGUAAAGCUCUGUCGCAGGGGAAUAACACAAUGAAGGUACCCUGUAAGAAAGGAUCGGCUAACUUCGUGCCAGCCGCCGCGGUAAGAC
rnacentral:rRNA from 1 species